rnacentral:rRNA from 1 species
UACAGAGGGUGCAAGCGUUGUUCGGAAUUAUUGGGCGUAAAGCGCGUGUAGGCGGCUUUGCAAGUCGGGUGUGAAACGCCCUCAGCUCAACUGAGGAAGUGCGCCCGAAACUGCAGAGCUUGAGUGCCGGAGAGGGUGGCGGAAUUCCCCAAAGUAGAGGUGAAAUUCGUAGAUAUGGGGAGGAACACCGGUGGCGAAGGCGGCCACCUGGACGGCAACUGACGCUGAGACGCGAAAGCGUGGGGAGCAAACAGG